rnacentral:lncRNA from 1 species
ACAUCUCUUGGAGCUCUAGCUCACCUCUCUGGUGUUCUUCUCAUCUGAUUAAUCUAGUUCUUGCGAGUUCUUCUUGAAUUUUUUGUUAGAUCUUGAGUCUAUAUUUUUGUGUCCGUGAGAGUUUGUCGAGACUACACUUACCUCAGAUAUCAGAGCUAGUUUCUUCUUUGUUGGAGUGUGGAUUACCUCUCUGCUUGGAAGUGUACUAGCACUUUAGAGGUUGCGGAUUACCCUCCUCUAAGCUGAUACAUCUUUUGUUACAAUAUUGGAGUCUUAUUUUUCUUGGAGAGAGUGGAUUACCCCUUUUUUUGAAGCUCUUAAGGCAUUUUAGAGGUUGCGGAGUACCCUCCUCUAAACCAAUAUUGUCUUCUUGUAGAAUCAUUUCUAUCCUUCUUUUAGAAUGGUCGGGGGCCAAGACAUUAGUAUGAUAGAAAGUUCAGAGUCCAAGUUAGAUGCUAUCAUGAAUGCCCUCGCUAUGUUAUCACAAAGAACUGCAGAGAUUGAAGGAGUCGUGGCAAGGCUUCAUAAUGAUGGAGCAUCUGGGAUGGUACAAUCUAGGUUGCAUCAGCCUCAAACUUCUACACUUGGAGAAGCAACUUUACCUCAAGUUCGACAAGCACCGCUGGUUCUACAACAUAAGGAACCCCAAGUUAGCCUUUCGGACAAGUUCGAUGGUACACG